rnacentral:rRNA from 1 species
AUUGAACGCUGGCGGCAGGCUUAACACAUGCAAGUCGAGCGGGGGAGGUUGCUUCGGUAACUGACCUAGCGGCGGACGGGUGAGUAAUGCUUAGGAAUCUGCCUAUUAGUGGGGGACAACAUUCCGAAAGGGAUGCUAAUACCGCAUACGCCCUACGGGGGAAAGCAGGGGAUCUGCGGACCGUGCGCUAAUAGGUGAGCCUAAGUCGGAUUAGCUAGGUGGUGGGGGAAAGGCCUACCAAGGCGACGAUCUGUAGAGGGUCUGAGAGGAUGAUCCGCCCAGCUGGGACUGAGGCACGACCCAGACUCCUACGGGAGGCAGCAGUGGGGAAUAUUGGACAAUGGGCGGAAGCCUGAUCUAGCCAUGCCGCGUGUGUGAAGAAGGCCUUUUGGUUGUAAAGCACUUUAAGCGAGGAGGAGGCUACUAGUACUAAUACUACUGGAUAGUGGACGUUACUCGCAGAAUAAGCACCGGCUAACUCUGUGCCAGCAGCCGCGGUAACAC